UUUAGAAGAUAGUAAUUAA
rnacentral:miRNA from 1 species